rnacentral:rRNA from 1 species
AUUGAACGCUGGCGGCAGGCCUAACACAUGCAAGUCGAACGAGUGGCGGACGGGUGAGUAAUGUCUGGGAAACUGCCCGAUGGAGGGGGAUAACUACUGGAAACGGUAGCUAAUACCGCAUACCAUCGGAUGUGCCCAGAUGGGAGUCGCUAGUAGGUGGGGUAACGGCUCACAUAGGCGACGAUCCCUAGCUGGUCUGAGAGGAUGACCAGCCACACUGGAACUGAGACAAGGUCCAGACUCCUACGGGAGGCAGCAGUGGGGAAUAUUGCACAAUGGGCGCAAGCCUGAUGCAGCCAUGCCGCGUGUAUGAAGAAGGCCUUCGGGUUGUAAAGCACUUUCAGCGGGGAGGCGGUACUCGCAGAAGAAGCACCGGCUAACUCCGUGCCAGCCGCCGCGGUAAUUC